rnacentral:ncRNA from 1 species
UUGAUGUUUUUGUGUCUCUUUGUUGUUGUUCAGUUUAUUUAAAGAAGAGGCCCGCUGUGGCACAAUGAAGGUGAAGGCCCGCCAGGGCCGAGGUGGGAUCCCGAGGCCUCUCCAGUCUGCUGAGGGCACACCACCAGCCCGUCUCGCCCACCGCACCGGGGAGGUGGAGCAUGAGCACACGUGCUAGGACCCAAAAGAUGGUGAGCUAUGCCUGGGAAGAGCGAAGCCAGAGGAAACUCUUGUGGAAGUCCGUAGCCAUCCUGACGUGCAAAUUGGUCAUCCGAUCUGGGUAUAGGGGCGAAAGACUAAUCGAACCAUCUAGCACAGGG